rnacentral:rRNA from 1 species
AUUGAACGCUGGCGGCAGGCCUAACACAUGCAAGUCGAGCGAGCGGCGCACGGGAGAGUAAUGUAUGGGGAUUGCUAGAAAGCGGGGGAUAACUACUGGAAACGGUGGCUAAUACCGCAUACUAGUGGAUAACCCAUAUGGGAUUAGCUAGUAGGUGGGGUAAAGGCUCACCUAGGAGACGAUCUCUAGCUGGUAUGCGAGGAUGAUCAGCCACACUGGGACGGAGACACGGCCCAGACUCCUACGGAGGCAGCAGUGGGGAAUAUUGCACAAUGGGCGCAAGCCUGAUGCAGCCAUGCCGCGUGUAUGAAGAAGGCCUUAGGAUUGUAAAGUACUGUCAGCGGGGAGGCGUUACCCGCAGAAGAAGCACCGGCUAACUCCGUGCCAGCAGCCGCGGUAAUUC